GACGCAAGAGGGAAGAGAUAUGGGAACAUAUGUAUACGUAUAAUUGAUUCACUUUGUUAUAAAGCAGAAACUAACACACCAUUGUAAAGCAAUUAUACUCCAAUAAAGAUGUUAAAAAAAAAAAGUAUGUCAUCCACUAUAAAUGAUGACUGGAUCAUUUCAGACUCUGACAAUAUGAGCCACGUCUUAGGACUAUGCAGUUCUUCCUGACAUUUCCUUCCAUGAACAAUUGCACACAAUUCCACACACUUGUGUUUGCCAUUCAGUGUUCCUCACACACGUGGGACCUGCCAAAAUCUUUAACACGCCCUGCAACUCUGCUUUUGACAGGCUCCUCAUCUCCCCAGGCCCCGUUUCCUCCUCUGCAAAUGAGGGAAGUGGUCUAUAACUCCUUCCAACCUCUUCUUCCAGCUCUAGAAUAUUCAAUACAUUAAGAGUACAGGGUUAAGAAUCAUUGCUUUGAAAGAAACUCUAAGAUUUCUGUCAUCUGAGGGCAAAGGUGGGCCUGCAAGUCAUUUAUUGUCUCAAAAAAUUAAGACCUUUCUUUAAACAUAGACCAACCAUAUGAUCCAGCCAUUCUACUCCUAGCUACUUACUCAAGAGAAAUAAAAACAUGUCUGCACAAAGACUUGUACAGGAAGCUUUAUUCCCCAAAACCCCAAACUGGAAACAACCCAAAUGCCCAUUAAUAGAUGAAAGAAUAAACAAAAUGUUGUACAUCCAUACAAUGGAUUACUAUUGAGCAAUAAAAAGGAACAAAAUGAUACAUGCAAUAACAUAAAUGAAUCUCAUUAUGCUGAAUGAAGGAAGCCAGACACAAGACUACAUACUGUAUAUUCUGGUUAUGUAAAAUUCUGGAGAAUGCAAACUAAUCUAUUACAGUUACACAAGGCAGAUCAGUGCUUGCUUGUGGACUGCAAAAGGGUACGAGGGAUCUUUUUGUGGAGGGAAAUGUUCUGUAUUUUGAUUGUGAUGGUAGUUUCACAGGUGGAUGCAACUGUCAAAGCUCAUCAAAAGGUGCACUUUAAAUGAAUACAACUUAUGUAAAUUGUUUCUCAAAGUUAUCAGGGAAAAUUUUUUUGUAAGCUCUUGACUGUUCAAUCUGAGGCUUGAAGAAUAUACAUAAGGGGCAGCAGAUAAAGUUUUGAGGGGCCAUGAUAUCAAAAAAGGAUUGAUAAACCCAAAAUAUUCUUAAACAUUCUGGAAAGCCCUUUAGUUUCUGGGCAGCAUGUAUGAAUUUGUAGGAAAAUAAUUUAUCUUCUGAUUUCAGGUAAAACCCAGAACAAAGAACUGCCUUGGGAGCUAAGCAAGGUAUGUUGCUCCACAAACAAAGGCAAGUACAUGGUGGUGGGCAGCUUCCUGUGUUUGCAGCAAGUCAGGCUCCUUCAUACCGACUUCUUCCUUCACUCUGCCCGAGGUGGUAUUUACGGGUCUACUCAGGGGUGGAUUCCAUUCUACUUUAUGAAUGUCUAUUCAGAAAAACUAGAAAGCUGUAGGGCAUAUUCUUCCUUUAUAGGCCACGUGGGGCGACCGAUUUUAGUUGGCACCACUUGUAGAAUCACAGGAUGUGAGAUUUGGAAGGAACCUCAGAGACUCUCCGUCCAACUUCCCAGAGGAGGAAGCUGAGGCCCAGAGAAGGUAAGUGACUGGCCUAAGAACACAGAGCACAAGCAGGGCUAAAAAUCACUGCUCUCCAGGAUCUCUCCACUUUGAUACACUGGCUCAUCACUUAUUGAGAACGUACAACCCCAAAUCUCUAGCCAGAUCCUAAAUCCAAGCUUAAUUAGCCUGCUGCACCUUUAUUUUUUUUUAAUUUUUUAUUUUUUUUAAUGAAAGCUGUAAAAUGGUUGGAUUCUAGCUGAGAGAAAAGCAGCAAAUUCUCAGUUCUGGCCUACUGUGAGGAAAUGUAAGGAUCAAACCUCAGCACGGGAAUGAAUGCGAGGCAUUUAUGAUUCUUGUAGAACUUGGCAGCAAUUACAAAAGCCUGUUCCAUGGUGGAAAUGACCAUGUUAAAUUUCCAUUCUUAUUUGCAUUUGCAAAAAUAGAAUAAAAUUAUUUCUUGGGUAGAAGCAUUCUCUGUGACUGGGAAGUGCUUCUUGUUCGUUACUGCUCCUUUCACUCUUCAUAUAUUUCCCCUUGAUGGCUGUUGAAAUAGCAGAUAUUUCAUACAGAGAGAACAUUCAUCACAGCAGAUUCUUGAUUGAAGUUGAGUCAGAUUCUGCCGUGAAGCAGCCACUGCCAGGGAGUAAAUCAGGCCUCUCUGGAAGCUUCACUACCACCCAGUCUAAUAUGGCUUUAAUUUCCAAACUACAGUUUGGCAGGGCCAGGUCUCAGCACUGUCCCCAACCUCCUCCUCUUGCAUCUGACCCCUCGGCGCCUGGGUUCCACGGGGCCGAGACGUCCCCUCGGGGGGCGUGAUGUUGCUUCCCAGUGGUAUCUGGAUGGCACCUGCCAGCUGGUGCUGGUGCAGGGGAGACAAAGAUGAUAGCUGUGUAAUUUAGCAGUGGCCUUGGCCCUUUGGUUAGCCGGUGUGCUGGUAACAUGUUUUGCUCUUCCCGCAGACUCCCAGAAGGUCUGUUGUAGAGUUUGGUAGAAUGACUAGGACAGUAACUUCUGGAAGACUUCGGAUUGUUGGAAUCACCCCAAGCUGAAGAAGCAACAUCGGCGGCCCCUGCUUCUGUGAGGGGACUCCUGGAUCACCAAGCGACGGCACGUCCUGGAGGUGUUGGCAGUGCUGGCGCCCACCCUUCCCUGUGCUGGUGUUUUCUGGGUCACUCUGUCUUGUCCUGAGGGCCACGCUGUGCUGUGGCUGCGGGACACACCUUUCGUGUGUGGGCACCGUGGAUGGGCGGGUCUAACCCUGUACUCAGCGCGUCCCUCCAUUGAGCACCGUGAGGCACAGACUCCCUCACAUUGCCGACACCUGUGCAUCCACAAGGGCAUUUGUCAGCGCUGAAUUCCUUGUUGAGCGAGUGGAUAAUAAAGACUUCUCCGCUCUGGCUUCUGCCCACACUGCCCUGCCGAAAGUGCUCUCUCCAAGGUAACCAGUAAACCUCUACGUCGUCCAUUCCGGGGAGCAUUUCUGAGUCCUCAUCUUCCUGGGAUGCUCCUUGGAGGACCAUCUGAGUAUCCUUCUACUGCACAUGGAAGAAAAACCAACUCACAUUGUGGCAAACAAAGCAAACACAGUGCCCCCCAGCGGUGCUAGACCCCUCAGGACUCGGCCGGCUCCUCAAGUGUCUCACUGCACACUCUCAGGUCUGCCUUUCCACAGAAAGUCAGAAAAUAGAAAUUCUGAUUUUUUCAGCUACACCCAGUUCUUUCUACAAAGAGUAAACAUGAAGCUUCCUGUAGCAAAGAAAUGAAGUUUCAACCAGUUUACAGAACUCAGCAAGGUCAGGAUGAACGAUGGAAUCACAAAGGACUAAGGAAUUCCACAGGGCCUAGAUUUCCAGGAGAGGUUUUCGCCUGUCUUGAAACUACAGAAGUAAAACCUGAAGUUAUGAUCCAGGCUAUAACUGAGCUGUAUAAUAAAUAAUGAACCUCAGAUUCAAUGAAAUAUAACAGCCCUCAUCAUCCAAUACAAAAGCUGUAUUACUGAACAUUACUGAAGAAA